UGCCGGAGGGGUGGGCUAUCUGCUGGUGGGAGAGCUGCUAACAGGGAGUGGAACCAGCCCAGGAGAAAGAACUUUGUUGCAGUCAACAAAGAUGAAAAAGGAUUUGGAGUUCUGAAGACUGCUUUGACAUCGGACAUGGUGAUCAGAGUUUGGAGUCUGCCCAGCUGGUUUCCUGUCUUGUUUUAGGGAUUACAGUCUAUAUUCUCUUUGCCCACUCCAUGUAUUCAUUUUCCUUAUUAUUCUUGGGCAUGAGACAGGGAACUCAGAAGCCAUUGACUUCAGGUGGCUGCAUGUUGGGCAUCCUGGACCCUAGCAUCUCUCUGAAAGAAUUCACAUCAGAAGGCCUCUUUGAACUCAGGAUGAUUCUCCUACCUCAAAGAAGUCAAACCAAGCCACAGAAAAAAAGAACUAUUUUCCCAGGAAUAAACCCUCAUUCUCUUCAACUCCCA